rnacentral:misc_RNA from 1 species
UCCCCGUUACCGGGGCAGUCUAGCUAGAGAAAUCCAACUAACUAAAAGGGUUGCGCUCGUUGAAGGACUUAACCUAACAUCUCACGGCACGAGCUGACGACAGCCAUGCAGCACCUGUCUCCCGGCCCCCGAAGGGGAAACCCUACUUCUAGGGCGGUCCGGGGAUGUCAAACCCAGGUAAGGUUCUCCGCGUUGCAUCGAAUUAAACCACAUGCUCCACCGCUUGUGCGGGCCCCCGUCAAUUCCUUUGAGUUUUAAUCUUGCGACCGUACUUCCCAGGCGGGGUACUUAAUGCGUUAGCGUCGACACUGCAGGGGUCAAUUCCCGCAACAUCUAGUACCCAUCGUUUACAGCGUGGACUAC